UACGUAGGGUGCAAGCGUUGUCCGGAAUUAUUGGGCGUAAAGAGCUCGUAGGCGGUCUGUCGCGUCGGCUGUGAAAACCUGGGGCUUAACUCCGGGCCUGCAGCCGAUACGGGCAGACUAGAGUUCGGCAGGGGAGACUGGAAUUCCUGGUGUAGCGGUGAAAUGCGCAGAUAUCAGGAGGAACACCGGUGGCGAAGGCGGGUCUCUGGGCCGAUACUGACGCUGAGACGCGAAAGCGUGGGGAGCAAACAGG
rnacentral:rRNA from 1 species